CUUUGGAGUUGCCUGUUGUUUUACAGUGAAUGGGGGACCGGGGCCAGACUCAAGCCUAUGGGGAUGGUGCUUGUCACAGGGGAGAGAAGCAGGCUGGCAUGGGACUGAAUUAACCUUGGAGUUUGAAACGAAGAUGGAACGAAUCCAACCAACCUGUGUGUAUUUGUAAUGGUUCCCGAAGCCCUGUUGGUGACAUUGAAUCUGCAGCUGUGGUGUCCAGGCCCACUGUAGAGACCUUUAGCUUUCCCCCUGCACACACACACACAGCAGCAUUUGGUUUAGCCAUUUCCCUUACGGUCAAAAGACGUACUCAGGUGACUCCACAUUCUGUUCCCACUUAGCUGGCUCUAUCCACUGGGACCAGCUUAGCAAGGCCUCACUGACACUGUCACUGUAAAUGACUCUCAAUGUCAUCAUGUAAAUCCAUGGAUGUCAAUGUAGUGCCUGUGCACUCAUACUACGUAUGGUUUAGUCAGAGACGUAGUAAACAGAGACAGAAGGAGUAUUCCCAGUGCGCACACUCCCUCUGUUCUCCUGCACGUGUACUUUUAGUGCUGCUAACGACCCUCAUAGGAAACAGUUACGCAGGAACACACAGCAAUAUGGGAAGUCCAUUUGGGUGGGGGAGACUUAAGGGGUGGAUGGCGGUGAGGUUCCUCAGAGGACCCUAAAUGGGAGUAUGGGAGUGUCAUCCCUCCCACAGGUGUGUGUGUGUGUGUUUGUGUGUCACCUGUGGAUCC
rnacentral:lncRNA from 1 species